GACGAACGCUGGCGGCGUGCUUAACACAUGCAAGUCGAACGGAAAGGCCCUGCUUUUGUGGGGUGCUCGAGUGGCGAACGGGUGAGUAACACGUGAGUAACCUGCCCUUGACUUUGGGAUAACUUCAGGAAACUGGGGCUAAUACCGGAUAGGAGCUCCUGCUGCAUGGUGGGGGUUGGAAAGUUUCGGCGGUUGGGGAUGGACUCGCGGCUUAUGAGCUUGUUGGUGGGGUAGUGGCUUACCAAGGCUUUGACGAGUAGCCGGCCUGAGAGGGUGACCGGCCACAUUGGGACUGAGAUACGGCCCAGACUCCUACGGGAGGCAGCAGUGGGGAAUAUUGCACAAUGGGCGGAAGCCUGAUGCAGCAACGCCGCGUGCGGGAUGACGGCCUUCGGGUUGUAAACCGCUUUCGCCUGUGACGAAGCGUGAGUGACGGUAAUGGGUAAAGAAGCACCGGCUAACUACGUG
rnacentral:rRNA from 1 species